CCCCUCUGCUCAACGCGAGGACUCUCUGCACUUGUCAGUCCCAGCUCGCAUGUGUGAGGGAGAGGACACCGUGUUGUUCCUAUGGAAGUCCGUAGCGAGGCAGGACACUCCUUAGCCUUUAUAGGCUCUUGCUCUUGAACACUUUCCCCCCGUCGGAUGCGAUCAGACCAGGCAAACCAGAUCAAACAGACAAAAAAUCCAAGGCUGAAUUGAAAUUGAAGGAGGAUAUUGGAGUGGAGUUGGCCUGAUGUGCAAGAAAAUGCGGACAAUGCCAGCCCCAAAGUUUGCAUCAACUGGCAAUGAAGACAAAGUGCCACCAGACAGGAUGAGGUACUGCAGUCAUCCUGCAGAUAGAAACAAGGGUGGGUGGUUGGAAGGCUGGAUAAAGGCUGGUAGAUGACUGAACUCAGAGACCCGGCACAGCUCAUCAUCAUUGCCAUGGGCUCUCGUCUUCCUCCUCUCCUCCUGUGGCCCGUACCUCCAUCCAAGGGUCCAGCAGAGCCAGUGUAGCCCAGGCGGGGGGGCUAGUGAGUGGGCUGGGAAGGAUGGAGGAGGUCCCUGAAGGCUAGAAGCACCUCUGGAGCUACCGUCAUGCAGGAGAAAUCAAUAUGAAACACAGAGCCUGCACAGCUCUGAGUGGGGUUUCCUGUGUUAGUCUGUGGCCUAGGGGCCCGCAGACCUCCAAAGGACAGGCCCUGCAUGGCCCUCUCAGCUGCAGCCCUGGCUCCUAAGACUGGACCACAAGUCCGAAUCUUCACUGGCUGUGUGUGGUUCUGCUGAAGGGGAUCUCUCCCCAAAUAAUAACUAAUACCCAGAAUGCUGAAAGACCGCCAAGAGGGAUAUUCCUUUCUCUUGAUUUUUUUCCUUCAUAAGAUUGACAUAUCCCCCACCUUCUGCCUAUGGCUGUUUAAAACCAGUUUGGGAGUGCUGCUUUUGACUCACUCUCCAUCCUCAACUCGCCCGUUGUUUAUUCCCCAACCAGUUUUUACAUUUGACAAAGAGACAGUACUAUCUUUAUUUUCUCUCCCUCUCUUGGUUUGCUGUUACUAUGGUGAGCUGUAGACAUGUCUGUUCAAACCACAAAUACUGGCACAUGAAGAAUGAACAUCUUUUUUCUCCAUGAUGUCUAUUAUUCAAUUCCAGACUGAUUAAAAAAGCCGACUGAACAGCGAAGAGGGCUGAAGAUCACAGGGCAGAGAGACCUUCCCACCUGGUAGUGGAAAUGGUAAAAUGGCAAGUAUCUCUCUGAAGCACUCCACUUUUUCCACUCUAUGAACAACUCUCAGUGUGCUCUCGGUACCUCUGUGUGAAUUUGAUUUUAGGGUGUUGAGUACUGCUGUCAAAUUUGUUUUUUUUAACUUAGACAUAUUUUGAACUUAAAAGGUUAAUUUAAGUGUUUAAGUCUAUUGCAUUGUAAAAUGCGACACAAAUCUGAGCAUUUUUUUAUCAUACGAGACAACCACUCUAUACAUUCUCUGUGUGUGUGUGUGUGUGUGUGUGUGUGUGUGUGUGUAUGAAUGGACUGUAUGUGCUUGGCCUUGAGAGAGUUUGCCGGCGAGCAGCAGCAGUGUGCACCCACAGCUCCUAAACUGCUGCCGUAGUCACAGUAAUGCAGUGUGGUUGUUUCUAUCCUGAUGGGCACAGCUUCAGACAAAAUGGCCGCCAGUCUUUCCCUCUGCCAAAGAUGGCGGGCGCAUCUCUGCUGUCUGCCAUCUGUGCAUGCGUUAACUGUUAUCGAAUGCAAAUCGAGGUUAAUUGCAUUUGCAUAACCUCCAACCAUCGUGUCGUUGGCAUGUGCUGAUAAUUGCUCCUAUAAAUGCGGCGUUGCGGCGAGCAAGCAGGAGUGCAGUAAUGUUUUAAACCGUAUUCGGUUCCGUUUGUUUUUCUCUUGAGGUGCAAGCAUUCGCACUCUGAAAUGUGUUUGAUAGUUGUUGGGUGCAUGUGAGAUCAAGAGUCUGGACCCAAUGGGCCAUAUGGUGUGCAUGUUUGCAUGUGAUUCCCUCCCAUGCAAAUGUGACACUGUACAAAAGACUUAGCCGAGGCUUUCUUUAAUCAGAUAGCGCUCUGUCACGCAUGCACACUCACAGAGUUUUUUACACACAGACAUACAUAAUGCACCGAUGAAAGCAUUAAGCAAACAGAGAAGCUCAGACACGCACACAGACUCUAAUUAAGAAGGGAUCCAUAGGCCCAACAAACUCCAGACAGACAGACCAUAAUAGUCUCAUUUUCAUGCACAUGGGUGUCUGGUUACCAUGGCACUGAACAAAUCGUGGGGGGACUGAUUUUGCUAGAAAAGGGCUGCACAUGAGACAUAUAAAUAGGCGGUAUCACAAAAAUUGCUGCCUGAAGAACACUGAAUUGUAGCUUUGAAGUAUCAUAUAGCACUAUUUCCCUAGAAUACACCAGUUAGAGGAAAACGAGUGAAAACUGAACUGCUUCUCAUCUGUUUGAGACUUUGAAAUAGCACCUUGCAUAAAAUGAAAAAAUAUUCAGCAUAACUUGGUAUAAUAAUAAAGUUCAGAGCUGUUUAUUUAGUCAGAUGUUUGAAGCGUGGUAUAAAUGAAUAUCUUACGUUUCUGCAUUUCGAUAUUGCGUCGUUUUGUGGUCGAAUUUGAUUGAGCAGGUCUUGUUUUUGGGGGCGUUAAUUCAUGCGAUGAGAGUUGUCUGAGCGGCCGAGUUAACAAUGCAGCGUACGCAUUUGCAUUCGCCCAUCAAGGCAGCUGUUGUGCUGUACAGUUAGGUCUACUGUGGGCAGCAAAAUGGCGGUCACGCGAAUCA